rnacentral:rRNA from 1 species
GACGAACGCUGGCGGCGUGCUUAACACAUGCAAGUCGAACGGAAAGGCCCUGCUUUUGUGGGGUGCUCGAGUGGCGAACGGGUGAGUAACACGUGAGUAACCUGCCCUUGACUUUGGGAUAACUUCAGGAAACUGGGGCUAAUACCAGAUAGGAGCUCCUGCUGCAUGGUGGGGGUGGGAAAGUUUCGGCGGUUGGGGAUGGACGCGCGGCUUAUCAGCUUGUUGGUGGGGUAGUGGCUUACCAAGGCUUUGACGGGUAGCCGGCCUGAGAGGGUGACCGGCCACAUUGGGACUGAGAUACGGCCCAGACUCCUACGGGAGGCAGCAGUGGGGAAUAUUGCACAAUGGGCGGAAGCCUGAUGCAGCAACGCCGCGUGCGGGAUGACGGCCUUCGGGUUGUAAACCGCUUUCGCCUGUGACGAAGCGUGAGUGACGGUAAUGGGUAAAGAAGCACCGGCUAACUACGUG